rnacentral:rRNA from 1 species
GCCGCAGUAUUUUAACUGUGCAAAGGUAGCAUAAUCAUUUGUCUUUUAAUUGGAGACUCGUAUGAAUGAUUGGAUGAGAAAUAUGCUUUUUUUAUUUUAUUAUAAAUAAUUUUCUUUUUUAGUUAAAAAGCUAAAAUGUUUUUAUUAAACGAGAAGACCCUAUAGAACUUUAUUUAAUUUUAUAUUAUUUUAAUUUUAGGCGUUUAUGUUUAUUAAUAUAUUUUUGAAUUUUGUUGGGGUGACAGUUAAAUUUUAAUAACUUUAAUUUAUUAUUAUUCAUUGAUGUAUGAUUGUUUUGAUCCAAUGAAUUGUUGAUUAUAAGAUUAAGUUACCUUAGGGAUAACAGCGUAAUUUUUUUGGAGAGUUCUUAUUAAUAAAAAAGUUUGCGACCUCCAUGUUGGAUUAAA